rnacentral:rRNA from 1 species
ACAGAUCGUUCUAGAGUUUGAUCCUGGCUCAGGACGAACGCUGGCGGCGUGCUUAACACAUGCAAGUCGAACGAUGAAAGUCGUUUUGAUAUCUUCGGAUUGAUAAACUUCUGGAUUAGUGGCGGACGGGUGAGUAACGCGUGAGCAAUCUGCCUUACACAAAGGGAUAGCCUCGGGAAACCGGGAUUAAUACCAUAUGAUAUCACAUUUUCGCAUGAAGAAGUGAUUAAAGAAUUUCGGUGUAAGAUGAGCUCGCGUCCCAUUAAUUAGUUGGUGAGGGUAACGGCCCACCAAGAUAGCGAUGGGUAGCCGAUCUAAGAGGAUGACCGGCCACAUUGGAACUGAGAAACGGUCCAA